UACGGGGGGAGCAAGCGUUGUUCGGAUUUACUGGGCGUAAAGGGCUCGUAGGCGGCCAACUAAGUCAGACGUGAAAUCCCUCGGCUUAACCGGGGAACUGCGUCUGAUACUGGAUGGCUAGAGGUUGGGAGAGGGAUGCGGAAUUCCAGGUGUAGCGGUGAAAUGCGUAGAUAUCUGGAGGAACACCGGUGGCGAAGGCGGCAUCCUGGACCAAUUCUGACGCUGAGGAGCGAAAGCCAGGGGAGCAAAGCGGGG
rnacentral:rRNA from 1 species